CAAACAAAUAUUUGUUUUAAAUAGUUGCCAAAAUCUAGUUCAAAUUUUGGAGAAAAAAGAUUUAUUGGAUAGAUAAAGAAUGUAUUUAGGUGUGUUUUGCUCAUUUUAAGAGAUUGCAAUUAUAUUUUUGUUUGUCAAACAUUUUUUGUUUUAAAUAGUUGCUGAAUAUAUUUGGAAUAUUUUUAGUUUGUUAAUCAAUUUAUUGCUGGAAAAAAUCAAUAAUUAAAAGCCAAUGGCAACCAUUGUAAAUAAGUCCCAACUCCAAGAUUUAUUUUACAAAAUAGCUGCAAAAAUGUAUAUAUAGAUAUUAAUAAU
rnacentral:sRNA from 1 species